GGGUCACAUAGGCUUUCGAAGAUCACGCGAGAUCUUGCAAGAGGUCGAAGCGUCGGGCAGAGGCGGUGAUAGGCGGGAUUUCCUGUGAAGAGGAUGCAGUGGGAAAGAGCGGAUUGCUGGAGGUGCUUCUGGCUUCAGGAGAGAAGAUGGAAACUGAAAGAGAGCAGCUCCACUUCAGAUUGCCAAAGGAUUGACCUCAAAGAAGAGAUAUGAGAAGAUAGCUCCCUACCCUACUUCUUUUGCAGCAGUAGAAGAUUCAUCGGUGUGAAAUACUACAUAUUUUUUAAAAAUAUCAUUUAGUCUCAUGAAACUCAUUUUUCUUUUUAAAAAUUUUGUAAAAAGUAACACUGGAAGGACAAGAGGAAGAAAUACAAUAAGACAUGUUGCUGGCAUGAAAGAAAUAAAAUUUAUUCUUCAAUGCUUUUUAAAUUAUACAUGUAUAGGUCUUUCUACUCUGUCUGUGAUCUCUGUACAGUAUUUGCCUAAUAGUGAUAUCACUGGGUUGAAGGGUAUUUACAGUUUAGGGAAUUUUUAGUAUCCAAUGAAUUUUUUUUUCUAAAUCCUUAACUUUUAUCUUAGUAUCAAUUCAAAACAAGAUUGGCAAGGGCUAGGCAAUUGGGGCAAUCACUUAAUCAGGAUUACAUAACUAGGAAGUAUCUGAGGUCACAUUUGAACCCAGGUCCUCCCACUCAGGUCUGGCACUAUCUACUAUGUUAUCUAAUCCACCCCUCCGCACCCUACCAAAUGUUAAAAACGACCUAGAAGAAGGCCUUUAACCUAUACCCUCCAUGGAAAAUUUUUCUGAGGAGAAAAGGUAUAAUAGGGCAUGGAAGGAUUGCAGCUUGUCUUGGUGGAAGAAGUUCCCACAUUCAGGAGAUCAUAAAUCUGUUGAGAUAUUGAAGGGUUUGUUUAUUUUAGUCUACAUCUAUGAUUUUAUUGACAUAAGAAAUUCCUCCUACCAGUAUAAAUCAAUAUUUUCUUUGCAAUUUAUAGUCUUAGAAAUUUGCAGAGGGCCCUAAGGGAUUCAUUGAUUUUCCCAGGGGUAUACAGACAUGUGGCAGAGGUAGAACUCAAACUCGAGUAUUUAAAAAAAAAAAACAACACCUAACCUUCUGACUUAGACUUGAUGCUAAGUAUAGAAAAGGCUAGGUAAUUGGUGUUAAAUGACUUGCCUAGGGUUUCACACAACUAGGGAGUGUCUGAGGUCAUAUCUGAACCCAGAACUUCCUGUACUCCAGGCCUGACUCUCUAUCCACCAAGCCAUCUAGUUGCCCCUUAAUCAGUGUUUUUGAUGAUAUACUUCUUUUUUCCUGGGAGAUUAAAGAAAUUUAAACUUACCUUUUAUCCACCAAAGCAAGGAUUUAAAUACUAUUCUCCUUCACAUCCAAUAUAGUCAAAUUAGAACUGUUUAUCAAAUUAAAUAUUCUACCUCUUACUUCUCUGCAUUUCCUUAAAUAAUUCUUUGGAAUACAAAUACAUUGCCUCUCUCCACCUCUCAACAUCCUUGUUUCUUUCAGAGUCUACUCUGUCUCCUCCUUGAUGCCUUUCCUGAUUCUUGUACACACAAUAUAGCAGAUAUCCGUCUCAGCUCUGGAUCUUCCUCACUUCUCGAGGUUCCAUGUAUGGUGUUUGAGAUGAUUAUAAAAAUUCCAGAUUCCCACUCCAAUGAAGGCCUUUUGAAGGCCUGGACAGGUCUCAAAUCAAAUAGCUUGGCUGGUGAUCCUACCAAAUAUCUAAAUAAAACAAAAAAGAGAAUAAGAUAAAUAAUAGUAGGGAUCAAACACUGGAAUCAUUCUCAUACAUUCCUCCCCAUUAAUGCAAAAAGGUCAUUGUUUCUGCAGAAAAGGCAUUUCUCCUGUACAAUAAAAUGAAGUGGAAGAAAAAGUCAAGUGCUCAGGAUUUCCUUUUAAGUUUGGCCUUACCAAUAUACCCAGAGACCUACUGUACAGCUUCUGGAACAUAGACAUUCACUCCCCUGGGUUUGGGAUGCUAUUGCUAUUUUAUCCAGACAGUUCUUCCUCUUUAUAAAAGACUAAUCUGGCUAAAUACACCUAGUGUCUGAUACUCUCUGCACUCUAGUAUACUGGUUAUAACCUGACAUACCCUGUACAAUUUAAAAAAAAACAAACAACCUUUUGCCACUAUGUGGCAGACAGAAAACCACACAGUCUAUAAAGAGAAUAAAACUUAAAAGAAGAAAGGGGGGGGAGAAGGAAAGAAGGAAGGAAGGAGAAGAAAGAAAGAAAGAAAGAAAGAAAGAAAGAAAGAAAGAAAGAAAGAAAGAAAGAAAGAAAGAAAGAAAGAAAGAAAGAAAGAAAGAAAGAAAGAAAGAAAGAAAGAAAGAAAGAAAGAAAGAAAGAAAAGAGAGAGAGAGAGAAAGAAAGAAAGAAAGAAAGAAAGAAAGAAGAAAGAAAGAAAGAAAGAAGGAAAGAAGGAAAGAAGGAAAGAAAGAAGAAAAGAAAGAAAAAAGGAAGGAAGGAAGGUAAAUAAGUCCUCUUUUUGCUUUCUUUUUUUUCCCCUUCUCUCUCCUACCUCGUCUUUCACCUAUUCCCACUACUAAUCAGUACAGUUGGAUGAGCAGACAUUUCAGAUUGUCUUUAGUCUUCCUAAAGCUCAGAAUUCUUGAUGUCAAGCAAUACCCCAGUCGUAGCCUCCCCAAGAGCAAGGAUCACAUGCAUGUAUUACUAUGUGGUGCCCGCUCCCUUUUUCCAUCAGAGUAAGUGAAGAGCCUAGUCAAGCAGGUUAAGAGGAGGUUAGGGACUCUGGGUCAUGAGGUCCUGAUAACCGUAUGAGUGAAAGUUAAUGUUUAUUGUUGCUAACAUCCUGUUAUUAGCGGUCAUGACACGUUCCUUAGCCAAUGUUUUCUGGCAGAACAACAACCAAGAAUUCUGGCAUCCAAGGAAAACUGAGUUCAACCAGCAGGAUACAGUAGAAGACAAUCCCCCCUCUGGUGGAUAUGGAAAUGCUAUAAGAAUUGAGUGGCUUCAGAGGGUCCAAACUCAGUCUUCCGGUGUGGAGUAGAGGGAGAGGAGAGGAAGUAGGGUAGAGGAACAGCUACAGGAAUGCCCAGCCUUAGCCCUCUGAGGGCAAAGCUUAGCCUCGUCACAUUUUUGAAGGUGAUGGCUGGGCUCUUUAGAGACUCUGGCAAUAAGACUUUGAGUUGGGCAUUUAUAUCACAGGGUGGCUGGGGCUGCCUGGCAAUGGUUUGUAAGGUACUAUGAGAGUGUGUGUCCAUUGGGGGAUGAGGGAAAGUGACUGCUUCCAAAGGUACCUUGGCGCAACAUCCUGUUUACCCAUUCUGGGUACAAAGGCUUGGGAGCAUCCUUCUUUCUUCCUGCAAAUCACCUGAAGUAGAGGUAUCCCGGCUCCUCACUAAAUCUUCUCUCUCUAUUUUGCCCUUGAUUCAUAACCUUUCCUGCUUCUUUGAUCCCUGUAUUUCUCCUUUCUCACUGACCCUUUUUAAAAAAACACUUUCCUUCCAUCUUAGAAUCCAUACCGUGAUUUUGUUCUAAGGAAGAAGAGCAGUAAGGGCGAAGCAAUGGGGGCUGCAUGAUUUGCCCAGGAUCAUACAGCUAGGAAGUGUCUGGGGCAAAAUCUGACCUCAACACCUCUUAUCUGUAGGCCUGGCUCUAAAUCCACUGAGCCACCUACCUAGCUGCCUCCUCCACUGCCUCUUCAUCUGGUUUCAGAUGUUCUCAAGUCUCCCUAAUCCUAAAAAAGAUUGUCUUUUACCAUCUAUCACUACAUCUUUCUCCUCUUCCACACGACUGAACUUGAAAAAGUCGUCUGUACUCAGGGCCUCCAACAUUUCUUUAGCUAUAGACUCUCUCUUCUACCUCCUGGCAUUCUGACUUCUAUGUCCACCAUUCUGCUGACGCUUCUCUUUCAGAAGUCAACAAUGAUUCUGUUAACUUUGCUAAUAAUCAAACCCCUUAGCCUUGAAAAAUAAGAAAUUGGCUCUUACUCUCAGUAAUACAAUGAUCCAGGACAACUCUGAGGGACUCAUGACAAAGAAUGUUCUUCACCUCCAGGGGAAAAAACUGGGAGUUGGAAUGCAGAUCGAAGCACCCCAUUUUUUCAUUGUAGUUUAUUUGGAUUUUGACUUGGGGGGUUGGGGUUUAUACGAUUAUUCUCUUGCCAAAAUGAACAAUAUGGAACUAUAUGUUGCAUGAUAAUACAUGUAAAACCCAGCCUGAAUUGUUUACCAGCUCUGGGAAGGGGGAGGGAAGGGAAAGAGCCUAGAACUUCAGAAAACUCAUACAUGUAAUUGGUCGCAAAUUUUCUUAAAAAGCCUCAACCUCAUUGACUUUUUUGCUGCCUUGGGCCCAGAUGACCACUGAUUCCAAGAUAGAAGGUAUGGGUUAAAAACAAAAAGCUGGGAAGGAUGAAGCCAAGUGAGAAAGGGCUUUAACUGUCAAAUAGAAGAGUUUUCUUUGACCCUGAAGGAAAGAGGGAGUCACUGGGAUGUAUUAAGUAGGAGGCCAUGGUCAGACCCACGCUACAGGAAUUUUACCAUGGCAGCUAUGUAAAACAUGGAUCAGAGAAGGCAGAGAUUUGAAAGAGGGAGACCAGUUAGGAGAUUAUUGUAGCAAUCCAACUGAGAAGAAGUUUGGGGAGCCUGUCAGUCUGCCUUCAUGGCUGGCACAAUCCUUUUCUUGCUUCUGCCUCUUGGAGCUUCUUGGUGAGGUGCACAGAUUUGGUUCUAUACAGCACAUGCUCCUAUCAAGUCUGGAAAGCUGGAUCUAUUUACUCUAACUGUAAUCUACUAAAGUCCUCUCUUGUGCUGCCCUUUGUGAUCUUUGUGUCAUUUGAUGAAUGUUCCCCUUCUGUUUUCCAAAACUUCAACUUUUCUGAAAUUCAAACUCUCCUAUAGACAAAAAGACCUUUGAGGCAGCUCUCAAGACUUUGCGGAUUCAUUCUCCCUUUUCUGCAAUUAAAAAACAAACAAACCCUACUCACCAUUCCCAGCUUGGUGAAGGGGGAUGAAUUCAUUUCAUCUCUUCCCUGUCCCAGGGUACAAAUUGCACCCCACUUGAAGCCUGCCUCUUCCACUGAGUCUAUUGAAACUGGGGAUCAAAACACAUCUCCAGUCAUGCCCCUAGUGCAUGGCAAUAUAACUUCCCAAAGAACAGAAAAGGGAAUAGCACAUGAAAACAUGAAUCUCCAGUACACAUAACUUAGAGUUUGAAGGUAUUAUUGGGUUUUAUUAUUUAUUGGUAUAUCUCAAAUUUAACAUGGUAGUGACUAUUGCACAGAUUUGCAAUUUCUCUCUUUUGUUUUUUCCCUGUUUUUGAUCAUAAACUUGAAGAAUAUAGAAAAAGAAUGAUCAUUUCCAAAUUAAAAAAAAGAAAAAUGAAGAAUGUUAAAUGAAACUAUGAAUCUCUAUUAUAGAACUUAUUUUUUAACUAUAUAAUACAUUAAAGAUGCUAGUUCCAAUACACUAUGCCUGUUGUCUCUUUAAUUUCUUCCUAUUUGUUUUUUUUUUUAAAACCUUCACCUUCCAUCUUGGAAUCAAUACCGUGUAUUGGUUCCAAGGCAGAAGAGUGGUAAGGGCUAAGCAAUGAGGGUCAAGUGACUUGCCCAGGGUCACACAGCUAGGAAGUGUCUGAGGCCAGAUUUAAACCUAGGACCUCAUGUUUCUACGUCUGGCCCUCAAUCCACUGAGCCACCAAGCUGCCCCCUCCUAUGCCUUUUAUAAAUGUUUCAGUGAUGGACUUAUCUUUCUUUUAUUUGGGGGGUGGGGGUGGGACAUUGCUAUUACUACCCUAUUUCCCUUGGAUGACACUAAAAACAACUUUCCUUUUUUCUUUAAACAAAUCAUUAUAGACAGGCAAAACAAUUAUAUGUACUGGUUGUGUCUGAAAAUGCAAAGAUGGAGACUGGAAUCUGUUAGGGGUAAAAUUAGGGGUGAUGAGACUGAAAUAAUUAUAUUAGUAGUCACUAGGGAUUUAAAUUUGAUCCCAAUGAAAUACUCAAGUCAGUAUGGGAUUUUAUGGUGGUUUAUUUACAAUAGAAGGAAGAAAUUAAGAAGAAGGAAAAGAGGGAAAGGGUAGAAGAUCUGCUCUGGCCUGGCCUAAGCCAAGGGGAGUGCAGAGGCCUCAGCCAAGGGGCCUUCUCAGAAGAUUAAAUCUAGCUCGGCUUCCAAACACGAGGCUUCCUCCAAGUUGAGGGGCCUCCUCGGAGGAUAGUGCCUUCAGAAGGUCAAGGAAAAGAGAGGUCAGUCUUAUCACUCACCAAGGUAAAUUCAGGGAAACCACCUCACCUAAACCAGGCUACAGAGCUCCUCCCAGUAAACUCCCAAAGUGCCAAAGCCACAAGCACACCAAACACCUCCAAAAGCUCCCAAUACCUCGGAGAGAGAGCUCUCAGGAAGUGACGUAAAAUAUAUAGGCAGUUCUUUACAUCACUUCCUGUGUCUCACAUGUACCAUGUAAAUCUAAAAUUCACAACUCCCAUGUCUGAGGAAUAGUGAGAAGACUAGUUUGCCUGGAUGGAUGUAUAAGAAGGGGAGUAAUAUGUCAUAAAGCUGGAAAGGUAGGUUAUGAUGGACUUUAAAUGCCUAAAAAGGGAGUUUUUAUUGAUUUGAUUUGGAUGUAAAAGAUUACCAAGUAGUGAGAUUAGAAUUUUAUAAGGAUGAUAUUAGAAAUUAUGUCUUGUGUUAGUUUAGAGAUAACAAGUAGAGAAGCUGGCUUGAGAAAGAAUUGGAGUUUGAAACAGAGUUGAGACAGUGUCACUUUCAAAUAUUGACAGUAUGUGUGUGGGAGGGGUAAUAGUUUUUCUGUGGCAAUUGGUCUCUGAGAGUUACACUCUCUUGGAGUGCUGGGAGCAAGUGACAUCUUUUUUCUCUCUCCUCACUGUCUGAGGUAAAAGGAAAGGAGGGAUAAACCUGAAGGAGCUAAGUGAUUUUCCUUUUCCAACUUGGGAAACACUAGUGACUAUCUAUUUCUGUCACAUAAAUUGAUUUUAUACCUGAAGACCUCGUCUUUAGUUUGGAUUCUGAGUCUGUAAAGACUGAGUCCUAACUUGGUUAUUGCUGAGGCUCAGCCAGCUAGCCUUUGUUAUUUGUAUAACUUGGAGACAAAAUUAAGAAUUAUAUACUUCAUAUAAGGAUAAUAGUAUUUAGUUUAUUGUAGAAUAGUGAAAAUUUGGGUUAAUCAGAUCAGGAAGGAUAAGUGUAGCCUGUGGAAAUAGGAGAAGCAGUUCCUUGUGGAAUCAGGGAGUUUUA